rnacentral:rRNA from 1 species
ACAGCAGCAGCCGCGGUAAUACAGAGGGUGCGAGCGUUAAUCGGAUUUACUGGGCGUAAAGCGUGCGUAGGCGGCUUUUUAAGUCGGAUGUGAAAUCCCUGAGCUUAACUUAGGAAUUGCAUUCGAUACUGGGAAGCUAGAGUAUGGGAGAGGAUGGUAGAAUUCCAGGUGUAGCGGUGAAAUGCGUAGAGAUCUGGAGGAAUACCGAUGGCGAAGGCAGCCAUCUGGCCUAAUACUGACGCUGAGGUACGAAAGCAUGGGGAGCAAACAGGAUUAGAGACCCCGGUAGUCCCUGUCUCUUAUAC